UCAGGCCUAACACAUGCAAGUCGAACGGUAACAGGAAGAAGCUUAGCUUCUUUGCUGACGAGUGGCGGACGGGUGAGUAAUGUCUGGGAAACUGCCUGAUGGAGGGGGAUAACUACUGGAAACGGUAGCUAAUACCGCAUAACGUCGCAAAACCAAAGAGGGGGACCUUCGGGCCUCUUGCCAUCGGAUGCGCCCAGAUGGGAUUAGCUAGUAGGUGGGGUAACGGCUCACCUAGGCGACGAUCCCUAGCUGGUCUGAGAGGAUGACCAGCCACACUGGAACUGAGACACGGUCCAGACUCCUACGGGAGGCAGCAGUGGGGAAUAUUGCACAAUGGGCGCAAGCCUGAUGCAGCCAUGCCGCGUGUAUGAAG
rnacentral:rRNA from 1 species